rnacentral:rRNA from 1 species
UACAGAGGGUGCAAGCGUUGCUCGGAAUCAUUGGGCGUAAAGCGCGCGUAGGUGGCCCUGUAAGUCCGUUGUGAAAGUCAAAGGCUCAACCUUUGAAAGCCGAUGGAUACUGCAGGGCUAGAGUACGGAAGAGGCGAGUGGAAUUCCUGGUGUAGCGGUGGAAUGCGCAGAUAUCAGGAGGAACACCAAUAGCGAAGGCAGCUCGCUGGGACGUUACUGACACUGAGGCGCGAAAGCGUGGGGAGCGAACAGG